AUCACUUCUCGGCCUUUUGGCUAAGAUCAAGUAUAGUAUCUGUUCUUAUCAGUUUAACUGUAUAGUAGUUGUCAUCACAAACCAACAUAACCAGACAAACUGUGAAUCCUAUCAAGAAUUUCUUGUUACUGUCAUUAUUUCCAUGUACAAAAAUCUAUGGUACAUAUGCGUACAUUUACCGAUCCUGCAUGCUCUGGUGUUCUGUUU
ensembl:snRNA U2 U2 spliceosomal RNA